rnacentral:rRNA from 1 species
UACGUAGGGUGCAAGCGUUGUCCGGAUUUAUUGGGCGUAAAGAGCUCGUAGGCGGUCUGUCGCGUCGGAUGUGAAAACCCAGGGCUCAACCCUGGGCCUGCAUUCGAUACGGGCAGACUAGAGUACGGCAGGGGAGACUGGAAUUCCUGGUGUAGCGGUGAAAUGCGCAGAUAUCAUUUGGAACGCCAACGGAGAAAUCAGGCAGCUGGGGGUGUGCUGACGCUGAGACACGAAAGCCAGGGGAGCGAACGGG